rnacentral:lncRNA from 1 species
GCCCUAUAUAUGAUUCUAACAAAUACUAAAUUCAUGCAUUAUACUAACUACUUCAUAAUAAUAUAUAAAUCACAGUGUCAAAGCAAUGAAUGAAAAAUCAUCAUCUAUAACAAGAAUAUGUCUUUCUGGUAUACAUGUACCAUGCCCCCUUUUUUACACUGUCAUUUUCAUGUUGUGUCAAAGCAAAAAUUUGGCACAUAUUUAUAAAUCAUGCAUCAAGUUUCAAGAUCAUGAUCCAAAACUUCUUAGUCUUGUAUGGAUAGAUAAAUAAACAAAUAAACAUCCUUUUUUAUAAAGGGAAAUAACUUCAAUAUGACAGUAUUUGUCAAAAUUUAAUGUCUUUAAUAUGAGAAAUAUCAAACAAACAAAAAAAAAAUGAAAAAAAAAAAAUGCCAUACUGUAGAAUGUUUUUACAUGCAAGUUGAUGCUUUUUCAUUUUCAGUCAUUUAAUAUUUAGGACCAGUAAGAACUUAUUCUGCCUGCAACCAUUUAAUGUUUAAAAAUCCAAAAAUAAAAAUGU